UUGGGAAUCUUGGACAAUGGGGGAAACCCUGAUCCAGCCAUGCCGCGUGAGUGAUGAAGGCCUUCGGGUUGUAAAGCUCUUUUGCCCGGGAAGAUAAUGACGGUACCGGGAGAAUAAGCUCCGGCUAACUUCGUGCCAGCAGCCGCGGUAAUACGAAGGGGGCUAGCGUUGUUCGGAAUUACUGGGCGUAAAGCGUGCGCAGGCGGCUUCCCAAGUCAGUGGUGAAAGCCCGGAGCUCAACUCCGGAAAUGCCAUUGAAACUGUGAAGCUUGAGAACGAGAGAGGUGAGUGGAAUUCCCAGUGUAGAGGUGAAAUUCGUAGAUAUUGGGAAGAACACCAGUGGCGAAGGCGGCUCACUGGCUCGUAACUGACGCUCAUGCACGACAGCGUGGGGAUCAAACAG
rnacentral:rRNA from 1 species